AAUCAACGCUGGCGGCGUGCCUCAGACAUGCAAGUCGAACGAUUAAAGCUCCCUUCGGGGAGUGCAUAAAGUGGCGCACGGGUGAGUAACACGUAAGUAAUCUACCCUUCGAGUGGGGAAUAACGUUCGGAAACGAACGCUAAUACCGCAUAAUGCAGCGGCAUCUAUGAUGACAGUUGUUAAAGAUUUAUCGCUUGAAGAGGAGCUUGCGGCAGAUUAGCAGUUGGUAAGGUAAUGGCUUACCAAGGCUACGAUCUGUAUCCGGUCUAAGAGGACGGUCGGACACACUGACACUGAAUAACGGGUCAGACUCCUACGGGAGGCAGCAGUCGGGAAUUUUGGGCAAUGGGCGAAAGCCUGACCCAGCAACGCCGCGUGAAGGAUGAAGUUUUU
rnacentral:rRNA from 1 species